CGCACGGCUCCGACCGCGGCGCGCCGGCUCCUUCCGCCCGCGGCUCCUUCCGCGCCAAGUAGUGCGUCGGGCGACGGCUUCCGCAAACGCGGGCCCGCGGGGACCGCGCAACUGUCCCCAGCGGGCGAGCAGCGGCGUGAGGAGUUCUCAACUUCGGAGGGCCGCCCGGCGGGCCCUGUUUUCAGCUGCGGAGCCGCGGUGGGCCCGGCUGUCUCAAGCAGAGCCCGGGCAGAGGAGCGCCUGGGAGCAGUGGGAGAACGAGCGGCCGCCACAGGGCCGGGGAGGCAGGUGUCCCGGCGCCCGCCCCGCCCCGCCCCCAGCGCCAGCAGGAAGAGGAAGCCGCCGGGCCGGGCCCGCGGGCCACCCGCCGGGCCUCGCAGGGCGGGAGCGCCCUGGCUCGGGGAGGCGCGUGACCUAGUUCGCCCCAAAGUGGAUUUGACAGGUUGUCAGCACGGCUCCCCGCCCCCACCGCCUUCCGGGUCCCUCUCCCCAGGCGUCGGUCCCCACGGCCACCCGCGUCCCCGGCUCAGCCUCUCAUUGGCCCUUUCGCCGCCUGGCGCCCCGCCCCUACUCGAACUCGUGUUUCCAUUGGCCUCGAGCCGCCCGACGCCCCGCCUCCGCCUCUACUUCAACCCCAUUGGCCUUAAACCGGCCGGCGCCCCGCCCCUACCUCUGUCUGCCCCCCCCAUUGGCCUCAAGUCUACUGGCGCCCCGCCCCCUCCUCCACUCGGCCCCCCCCUCCAAUUUUGGCCUCGAGCCGCCCGGCGCCCCGCCCCGCCCCGUCCCGGGUCGCCCUCCCAUUGGCCUCCCGCCCGGCGCCCCACCCCCUCCCAGCGGCCCCUCCUGAGGAGGCAGCCCCCGCUGGCCUCUGGGCGCGACGUCCGUCCACGGUCCUCCGUGGCCGGCCUCCGUCGUCCUCCCGAGCCCUGCUCGGGUCCCUCGCCUCUUCUCCACUCCCAGCAUUCCCUACCUCCCCUCCGCCGCCCCGGGAGCCGAGCCCCGCGGCGCGCCCGCUCCGCUGCUCCGCCUACCCCUGGGGCUCCGCGCCCUGUGCUGCCCGCUCGCUCGCCUCCUGCCCCUUUCCACCUCUUGGCGUCACUCCGCUGCACCUUUCUCCCCGAAUUGGAGGCAGACAACGUCUUCCCCAGGUUUCCUCCCGGUGUCCAUCUGUCAGGUCUUCAGCGCGGGUCCCUUUCCCCGCCCCACUCUUCAAUUACGCCCCCUCCCUCCCAGCCCCGCCCCCCGCCCGCGAACCCGGCCCUGGGGGACCGUCCGGUGCUGCGGGGCGGAGGGCUGGCGCCGACGCGAUGA
rnacentral:lncRNA from 1 species